UGGGGAAUAUUGCACAAUGGGCGAAAGCCUGAUGCAGCGACGCCGCGUGAGGGAUGACGGCCUUCGGGUUGUAAACCUCUUUCAGUAGGGACGAAGCGCAAGUGACGGUACCUGCAGAAGCAGCACCGGCUAACUACGUGCCAGCAGCCGCGGUAAUACGUAGGGUGCGAGCGUUGUCCGGAAUUACUGGGCGUAAAGAGCUCGUAGGCGGUUUGUCACGUCGUCUGUGAAAUCCUAGGGCUUAACCCUGGACGUGCAGGCGAUACGGGCUGGCUUGAGUACUACAGGGGAGACUGGAAUUUCUGGUGUAGCGGUGGAAUGCACAGAUAUCAGGAAGAACACCGAUGGCGAAGGCAGGUCUCUGGGUAGUAACUGACGCUGAGGAGCGAAAGCAUGGGUAGCGAACAGG
rnacentral:rRNA from 1 species